AAGUCGUAACAAGGUCUCCGUAGGUGAACCUGCGGAGGGAUCAUUCACAUGAUUAUCUUUACAAACAAAACCUGUGAACUUUAAAAACUAUUCGUAUUUAAUUGCAUUAUGCAAUUAUAAUACUGUCAUUCGAUUGAACAUAAGAUAGUUGGCUUGUUUUAUUUUUUAAAUAUAACUUUCUCAGCUUUGAUUUGUUAUUUGAUUAAACCUUUUAUAACAAUCAUCCAUAAAACAUAGAAACAACUCUAUGCCCUGGAUAUCUUGGUUCUC
rnacentral:misc_RNA from 1 species